rnacentral:rRNA from 1 species
GAUGAACGCUGGCGGCGUGCUUAACACAUGCAAGUCGAACGGUGAAGCAGAGCUUGCUCUGUGGAUCAGUGGCGAACGGGUGAGUAACACGUGAGCAACCUGCCCCGGACUCUGGGAUAAGCGCUGGAAACGGCGUCUAAUACCGGAUACGAGAUUCCACCGCAUGGUGAGUUUCUGGAAAGAUUUUUUGGUCUGGGAUGGGCUGACGGCCUAUCAGCUUGUUGGUGAGGUAAUGGCUCACCAAGGCGUCGACGGGUAGCCGGCCUGAGAGGGUGACCGGCCACACUGGGACUGAGACACGGCCCAGACUCCUACGGGAGGCAGCAGUGGGGAAUAUUGCACAAUGGGCGGAAGCCUGAUGCAGCAACGCCGCGUGAGGGAUGACGGCCUUCGGGUUGUAAACCUCUUUUAGCAGGGAAGAAGCGAAAGUGACGGUACCUGCAGAAAAAGCGCCGGCUAACUACGUGCCAGCAGCCGCCGUAG